AUGGACCAGCCGCCUGCUUCCUCCAGCCGCUCGCUCAGCUCCUCCAGCUCCCGUGCCGCUCCUCAGCGCUGCUUCAUCCGCGCCGGGCUGCCCGCUCUGCCUCCAGCUCCUCUUCCAGCUCCUCCGCCCGAGCCUGGGGUGGGCACGUGGGGCAGCUGUCACUUCUGUGGGCCUCUGACCCCGGGCCUCACCCACCCGACCCCCACGUACCUGCAGCUCCUUGAUCUUCUUCUGCAGCUGGGCUCCCAGGAGCUGCUCGUCUUCCACCCGCAGGCUCAGCUGGCUCAGCUCGGAGUCCUUCCUAGGAGCCGCAGGGUGGGUGAGCCAGUGCAGGCCUUAACUCCCACCCACCUGCCUGGGACCCCUGUAACGCCCCCAAGUCCCCUUCAGGCCCUGAGGGACCUCACCCCCAUGCACCUGCUGCACUGGGCCCUGAGGCCUCAGCCCUGGACCCUGGCUGGGCCCUCAGUCCAGGGAGGGCAAGACGCUACCCCUGCGCCCCAGUGCCCCAUCUCUCGACCCCCACCCCUAAUGUCUGCAUUACCUCAGGACCCACAAGAAUCCAGAAGGGAACAAGGGCUGGGUGCAGGCUCAGAAGGCCCCUCUGGCCAGGCCGGGAGGGCCCCCCCACCGCCCCACCGCCCCACCGCCCCGCCCGCCCCUGCCCGCUUACUUCUUGAGCUUCUCCUCCAGCUGCUGCUUGUCUUGGGUGGCAUCAGCCACCGACUCCUGCGUCAGCUUCAGGUCACCCUCCAGCUUGCGCUUGGCCCGCUCUGUGUCCAUGCGCAGUUUCUUCUCCUGCUCCAGGGAGCAUUCCAGCUGUGGAGCAGGCAGAGCAGGGGUCAGCCACGGCCCAGGCCAGCCAGCACCCUGGCCCCGCCACCCAGUCUCAGGAUGACCCUGACUCACGUCCUCCACCUGCUGCUCCAGCCGGAGCUUGGCCUUGGUCAGCGCGCUCACGCGGUCCUCCUCGGCCUGCAGGUCACCCAGGGCCUGCUGGUGGGCCUCCUGUAA
rnacentral:lncRNA from 1 species